AGUGAACGCUGGCGGUAGGCCUAACACAUGCAAGUCGAACGGCAGCACAGUAAGAGCUUGCUCUUACGGGUGGCGAGUGGCGGACGGGUGAGGAAUACAUCGGAAUCUACUUUUUCGUGGGGGAUAACGUAGGGAAACUUACGCUAAUACCGCAUACGACCUACGGGUGAAAGCAGGGGAUCUUCGGACCUUGCGCGAUUGAAUGAGCCGAUGUCGGAUUAGCUAGUUGGCGGGGUAAAGGCCCACCAAGGCGGCGAUCCGUAGCUGGUCUGAGAGGAUGAUCCGGCACUCUGGGACUGAGAGACGAUCCAGACUCUUACGGGCGGCAGAGGCUGGGACGAUUGGCAGAUGGGGGCAAGACUGAUCCAGCCAUACCGCGUGGGUGAAGAAGGCCUUCGGGUUGUAAAACCCUUUUGUUGGGAAAGAAAAGUAGCAGGUUAAUACACCGCUGUUCUGACGGUACCCAAAGAAUAAGCACCGGCUAACUUCGUG
rnacentral:rRNA from 1 species